rnacentral:rRNA from 1 species
CAGUAGCCGCGGGAAAACGAAGGGGGCUAGCGUUGUUCGGAAUUACUGGGCGUAAAGCGCACGUAGGCGGAUAUUUAAGUCAGGGGUGAAAUCCCGCAGCUCAACUGCGGAACUGCCUUUGAUACUGGGUAUCUUGAGUAUGGAAGAGGUUAGUGGAAUUGCGAGUGUAGAGGUGAAAUUCGUAGAUAUUCGCAGGAACACCAGUGGCGAAGGCGGCUAACUGGUCCAUAACUGACGCUGAGGUGCGAAAGCGUGGGGAGCAAACAGGAUUAGAUACCCCAGUAGUCCCUGUCUCUUAUAC